rnacentral:rRNA from 1 species
UUCGGUCAGCUGACGAGUGGCGAACGGGUGAGUAACACGUGGAGACCUGCCCUAGGGUACGGGACAACAGUUAGAAAUGACUGCUAAUACCGUAUACGUCCUACGGGAGAAAGAUUUAUUGCCCUUGGAGGGGUCCGCGUUGGAUUAGCUAGUUGGUGAGGUAACGGCUCACCAAGGCGACGAUCCAUAGCUGUUCUUAGAGGAAGAUCAGCCACACUGGGACUGAGACACGGCCCAGACUCCUACGGGAGGCAGCAGUGGGGAAUAUUGCGCAAUGGGGGCAACCCUGACGCAGCGAUGCCGCGUGAGUGAAGAAGGCCUUCGGGUUGUAAAGCUCUUUCAGUAGGGAAGAUUGUGACGGUACCUACAGAAGAAGCUCCGGCUAACUCCGUGCCAGCAGCCGCGGUAAUACGGAGGGGGCGAGCGUUGUUCGGAAUUAUUGGGCGUAAAGAGCAUGUAGGCGGUUCGACAAG